GGACAGGUGUCCGAGUGGUUUAAGGAGCACGACUGGAACUCGUGUGGGUCUAAACAGCCUCGUGGGUUCGAAUCCCACCCUGUCCGCCA
rnacentral:tRNA from 1 species